UACGAAGGGGGCUAGCGUUGUUCGGAAUUACUGGGCGUAAAGCGCACGUAGGCGGCUUUGUAAGUUAGAGGUGAAAGCCUGGAGCUCAACUCCAGAAUUGCCUUUAAGACUGCAUCGCUUGAAUCCAGGAGAGGUGAGUGGAAUUCCGAGUGUAGAGGUGAAAAUUCGUAGAUAUUCGGAAGAACACCAGUGGCGAAGGCGGCUCACUGGACUGGUAUUGACGCUGAG
rnacentral:rRNA from 1 species